rnacentral:tRNA from 1 species
UCUAAUAUGGCAGAUUAGUGCAAUGGAUUUAAGCCCCAUAAAUAAAGUAGAAACUUUUAUUAGAA